rnacentral:rRNA from 1 species
AUUGAACGCUGGCGGCAGGCCUAACACAUGCAAGUCGAGCGGAUGAAGGGAGCUUGCUCCUGGAUUCAGCGGCGGACGGGUGAGUAAUGCCUAGGAAUCUGCCUGGUAGUGGGGGAUAACGUCCGGAAACGGGCGCUAAUACCGCAUACGUCCUGAGGGAGAAAGUGGGGGAUCUUCGGACCUCACGCUAUCAGAUGAGCCUAGGUCGGAUUAGCUAGUUGGUGGGGUAAAGGCCUACCAAGGCGACGAUCCGUAACUGGUCUGAGAGGAUGAUCAGUCACACUGGAACUGAGACACGGUCCAGACGCCUACGGGAGGCAGCAGUGGGGAAUAUUGGACAAUGGGCGAAAGCCUGAUCCAGCCAUGCCGCGUGUGUGAAGAAGGUCUUCGGAUUGUAAAGCACGUUAAGUUGGGAGGAAGGGCAGUAAGUUAAUACCUUGCUGUUUUGACGUUACCAACAGAAUAAGCACCGGCUAACUUCGUG